rnacentral:rRNA from 1 species
CCUACGGGGGGCAGCAGUGGGGAAUAUUGGACAAUGGGGGGAACCCUGAUCCAGCCAUGCCGCGUGUGUGAAGAAGGCCCUCGGGUUGUAAAGCACUUUCAGUGAGGAAGAACGCCUGGUGGUUAAUACCCAUCAGGAAAGACAUCACUCACAGAAGAAGCACCGGCUAACUCCGUGCCAGCAGCCGCGGUAAUACGGAGGGUGCGAGCGUUAAUCGGAAUUACUGGGCGUAAAGCGCGCGUAGGUGGCUUGAUAAGCCGGUUGUGAAAGCCCCGGGCUCAACCUGGGAACGGCAUCCGGAACUGUCGAGCUAGAGUGCAGGAGAGGAAGGUAGAAUUCCCGGUGUAGCGGUGAAAUGCGUAGAGAUCGGGAGGAAUACCAGUGGCGAAGGCGGCCUUCUGGACUGACACUGACACUGAGGUGCGAAAGCGUGGGUAGCAAACAGGAUUAGAUACCCUGGUAGUC